GGUUGAGCAACCAAGUAUUGUAAUUGAUUUGUUAAUAAAUAAAAUAUAUUUGGCAUUUUCAUCAUAAGCUUUCAUCUUCUAAUGAACUCCGUUGUUAUGAUGAAGUCCUUAGGACUAUUUAAGUUCGAUAAAGAGAGAAUUUAUCGAUUAGUCCUUAAAACUGUUCACGACCAAAUAGAUAGGCUGUUAAUAAGGACGACAGCUUCUAUCAAG
rnacentral:lncRNA from 1 species